rnacentral:rRNA from 1 species
GAUGAACGCUAGCGGCAGGCCUAAUACAUGCAAGUCGGACGGGAUUCAGGAGCUUGCUUCUGAUGAGAGUGGCGCACGGGUGCGUAACACGUAUGUAACCUACCUUUAUCAGGGGGAUAGCCUCUCGAAAGAGAGAUUAAGCCCGCAUAAAAUCACAGCACAGCAUUGUGUAAUGAUCAAAUAUUUAUAGGAUAAAGAUGGGCAUGAGGAACAUUAGCUAGAUGGCGGGGUAACGGCCCACCAUGGCGACGAUGUUUAGGGGAUCUGAGAGGAUGGCCCCCCACACUGGUACUGAGACACGGACCAGACUCCUACGGGAGGCAGCAGUAAGGAAUAUUGGUCAAUGGGCGGAAGCCUGAACCAGCCAUGCCGCGUGCAGGAAGACGGCCCUACGGGUUGUAAACUGCUUUUAUACGGGAAUAAACCCAGAUACGUGUAUCUGGCUGAAUGUACUGUAAGAAUAAGAAUCGGCUAACUCCGUG